rnacentral:rRNA from 1 species
UACGUAGGCAGCAAGCGUUGUUCGGAAUUACUGGGCGUAAAGAGUGUGUAGGCGGUGCUCUAAGUUUGGUGUGAAAUCUCCCGGCUCAACUGGGAGGGUGCGCCGAAAACUGGAAUGCUUGAACAUGGGAGAGGAAAGCGGAAUUCCUGGUGUAGCGGUGAAAUGCGUAGAUAUCAGGAGGAACACCUGCGGUGUAGACGGCUUUCUGGACCAUUGUUGACGCUGAGACACGAAAGCGUGGGGAGCGAACAGG